AAAUACACCAUGAUCCUGGCUAACUGGCAUUUCAAAGAUUUUGAGAAAAAUCUUAAAAACUGUCUCAUAUGUCACCUGAAACUAAAAAUUUAACAUUAUCAAAGAAGGAAUGCUUCUACAACUCUUACAAAGACUACUAGAAAGAAACAAUUAAAAAGCUAAGAAACUGUCUCAAAGGCAUAUUUUACAGUUCUUCUUCCAUAGCAAGAACCAGAAUUUCCUCCACCAUAUGGCCCUCUCAUGUUCCUGAUACAACAAAGUUUCUACUCUUCAUUGUACCAUAGUUAGAAGGUUGCGGAGAGGAAAGGCAGCAGCAGCAGUGAAGGGUUCCUGCUUCACAGAGGAAACUGCCAGACAU